GGUUAAGCGACUAAGCGUACACGGUGGAUGCCCUGGCAGUCAGAGGCGAUGAAGGACGUGCUAAUCUGCGAUAAGCGUCGGUAAGGUGAUAUGAACCGUUAUAACCGGCGAUUUCCGAAUGGGGAAACCCAGUGUGUUUCGACACACUAUCAUUAACUGAAUCCAUAGGUUAAUGAGGCGAACCGGGGGAACUGAAACAUCUAAGUACCCCGAGGAAAAGAAAUCAACCGAGAUUCCCCCAGUAGCGGCGAGCGAACGGGGAGCAGCCCAGAGCCUGAAUCAGUGUGUGUGUUAGUGGAAGCGUCUGGAAAGGCGCGCGAUACAGGGUGACAGCCCCGUACACAAAAAUGCACAUGCUGUGAGCUCGAUGAGUAGGGCGGGACACGUGGUAUCCUGUCUGAAUAUGGGGGGACCAUCCUCCAAGGCUAAAUACUCCUGACUGACCGAUAGUGAACCAGUACCGUGAGGGAAAGGCGAAAAGAACCCCGGCGAGGGGAGUGAAAAAGAACCUGAAACCGUGUACGUACAAGCAGUGGGAGCACGCUUAGGCGUGUGACUGCGUACCUUUUGUAUAAUGGGUCAGCGACUUAUAUUCUGUAGCAAGGUUAACCGAAUAGGGGAGCCGAAGGGAAACCGAGUCUUAACUGGGCGUUAAGUUGCAGGGUAUAGACCCGAAACCCGGUGAUCUAGCCAUGGGCAGGUUGAAGGUUGGGUAACACUAACUGGAGGACCGAACCGACUAAUGUUGAAAAAUUAGCGGAUGACUUGUGGCUGGGGGUGAAAGGCCAAUCAAACCGGGAGAUAGCUGGUUCUCCCCGAAAGCUAUUUAGGUAGCGCCUCGUGAAUUCAUCUCCGGGGGUAGAGCACUGUUUCGGCAAGGGGGUCAUCCCGACUUACCAACCCGAUGCAAACUGCGAAUACCGGAGAAUGUUAUCACGGGAGACACACGGCGGGUGCUAACGUCCGUCGUGAAGAGGGAAACAACCCAGACCGCCAGCUAAGGUCCCAAAGUCAUGGUUAAGUGGGAAACGAUGUGGGAAGGCCCAGACAGCCAGGAUGUUGGCUUAGAAGCAGCCAUCAUUUAAAGAAAGCGUAAUAGCUCACUGGUCGAGUCGGCCUGCGCGGAAGAUGUAACGGGGCUAAACCAUGCACCGAAGCUGCGGCAGCGACACUAUGUGUUGUUGGGUAGGGGAGCGUUCUGUAAGCCUGUGAAGGUGUACUGUGAGGUAUGCUGGAGGUAUCAGAAGUGCGAAUGCUGACAUAAGUAACGAUAAAGCGGGUGAAAAGCCCGCUCGCCGGAAGACCAAGGGUUCCUGUCCAACGUUAAUCGGGGCAGGGUGAGUCGACCCCUAAGGCGAGGCCGAAAGGCGUAGUCGAUGGGAAACAGGUUAAUAUUCCUGUACUUGGUGUUACUGCGAAGGGGGGACGGAGAAGGCUAUGUUGGCCGGGCGACGGUUGUCCCGGUUUAAGCGUGUAGGCUGGUUUUCCAGGCAAAUCCGGAAAAUCAAGGCUGAGGCGUGAUGACGAGGCACUACGGUGCUGAAGCAACAAAUGCCCUGCUUCCAGGAAAAGCCUCUAAGCAUCAGGUAACAUCAAAUCGUACCCCAAACCGACACAGGUGGUCAGGUAGAGAAUACCAAGGCGCUUGAGAGAACUCGGGUGAAGGAACUAGGCAAAAUGGUGCCGUAACUUCGGGAGAAGGCACGCUGAUAUGUAGGUGAAGUCCCUUGCGGAUGGAGCUGAAAUCAGUCGAAGAUACCAGCUGGCUGCAACUGUUUAUUAAAAACACAGCACUGUGCAAACACGAAAGUGGACGUAUACGGUGUGACGCCUGCCCGGUGCCGGAAGGUUAAUUGAUGGGGUUAGCGCAAGCGAAGCUCUUGAUCGAAGCCCCGGUAAACGGCGGCCGUAACUAUAACGGUCCUAAGGUAGCGAAAUUCCUUGUCGGGUAAGUUCCGACCUGCACGAAUGGCGUAAUGAUGGCCAGGCUGUCUCCACCCGAGACUCAGUGAAAUUGAACUCGCUGUGAAGAUGCAGUGUACCCGCGGCAAGACGGAAAGACCCCGUGAACCUUUACUAUAGCUUGACACUGAACAUUGAGCCUUGAUGUGUAGGAUAGGUGGGAGGCUUUGAAGUGUGGACGCCAGUCUGCAUGGAGCCGACCUUGAAAUACCACCCUUUAAUGUUUGAUGUUCUAACGUUGACCCGUAAUCCGGGUUGCGGACAGUGUCUGGUGGGUAGUUUGACUGGGGCGGUCUCCUCCUAAAGAGUAACGGAGGAGCACGAAGGUUGGCUAAUCCUGGUCGGACAUCAGGAGGUUAGUGCAAUGGCAUAAGCCAGCUUGACUGCGAGCGUGACGGCGCGAGCAGGUGCGAAAGCAGGUCAUAGUGAUCCGGUGGUUCUGAAUGGAAGGGCCAUCGCUCAACGGAUAAAAGGUACUCCGGGGAUAACAGGCUGAUACCGCCCAAGAGUUCAUAUCGACGGCGGUGUUUGGCACCUCGAUGUCGGCUCAUCACAUCCUGGGGCUGAAGUAGGUCCCAAGGGUAUGGCUGUUCGCCAUUUAAAGUGGUACGCGAGCUGGGUUUAGAACGUCGUGAGACAGUUCGGUCCCUAUCUGCCGUGGGCGCUGGAGAACUGAGGGGGGCUGCUCCUAGUACGAGAGGACCGGAGUGGACGCAUCACUGGUGUUCGGGUUGUCAUGCCAAUGGCACUGCCCGGUAGCUAAAUGCGGAAGAGAUAAGUGCUGAAAGCAUCUAAGCACGAAACUUGCCCCGAGAUGAGUUCUCCCUGACUCCUUGAGAGUCCUGAAGGAACGUUGAAGACGACGACGUUGAUAGGCCGGGUGUGUAAGCGCAGCGAUGCGUUGAGCUAACCGGUACUAAUGAACCGUGAGGCUUAACCUU
rnacentral:rRNA from 1 species